GCGGGGGUUGCCGAGCUGGUUAAAAUAAUCAAUGGGGUCAGAAACUAAAGGCGCCGGACUUAAGAUCCGGUCCCGUAGGGGUUCGUGGGUUCGAAUCCCACCCCCCGCA
rnacentral:tRNA from 1 species